UCUGAAAAUGACUGGAGCGAAGCUUUUGAAAUGGGAUGUUUACAUGUUUAUUAAGCACCAAAGAGAUGGCGCUUUCAAAUUUGUCUAAGAGCAGGUAAUGGAAGUAUCAUUUUCUUUCGAGAACUCUCCCUUAUGAGAUUUAUACAUUUUCAUUCACCAUUUUUGUUUGGUCUGUUUAUUUUCCUAAUGCUGAAUAGCUGAGAGAAAUUAUCUUGGAAGGUACCCAUUCAGGUACUUAUUACUUGAAAGAAAGGAGUGGAUUAUUUUCUCGGAACAACAGUUAUACAAUGCUUGUAAAUGAUGGCAAACGUGAUGAUCAUUUAGAUAAGGAUGUCGGGAACUCCACUGAUGCAGAAAACAUGGUAGAAAAAGAGAAUUUUAGAGAAUGAGAAUAAAUCAUCAAAAGAACACUUGCUUGAUAAUAGUUUUUCACUAGGUAGGGUUUUCUCGGCAGAUGAUUGUCUUUCAAAACACUAAAAGCAAGUUUGUGAAAAUGAAUGUGAUGAUUUCUUUAAAAUUUUGAAGAGGAUUAAAUGUUACGCAUCUACAAGCUUUGAGUCUAAAGAAAAAGUCAGUUUCUCAACUCAAACAGAAAGUGUCAGAACAUUUAGCCUGAAGACUUCUAGUUUCUGAGUAACGAGAGCAUCAUGCAGAAAAUAAUAACAGAGAAACUUCGGGUGAUGGGUGCUUAGAGGAUAGUCAGAAUAGAUGCAUUGCUUCAAAAUUGUGUCAAUCCAGCAGUCAUAUUGAAGUCUUUCUCGAUGAAUCUAAUAUUCCUUUUAAUGAUACUUUGAUGCCUCAAGAUACAUUUGGAGGUGAAAAUUCUUAGCAACUACAGGUUGAGUCAAUUCCACAUGUUGCACUUCCAGAUGGAAUCCAGCAUAAGAUUUCUGGAAGUAAACUCUGGUCUAAAACAUGAAACAGAUCUAUAACUCAAAGAUCAAAAUGGCUUACAACGGCAAAUUGCUAGUGUUAAAGCUCCAGGUCAUACUAGAAAUUGUUGUGGGUAGAGGUGAUUUUGUGUAUCAAGGUGAAAAGAUUAAGCUUGAAAUGAAAAAGCAGGCAGAACAAGAUCUUUGUUUAAAGUGUUAUGAAGCAAACCCCAAGCAAGCCUAGUAUUUCUGGGUAGUGAGUUAAGACGAAAGAAAACUCCGAGGACAGCUAAGGAGGAAGACCUGAUAAGGGAGAGUGCAGAAGUUUAGUUUCAAUGACCCAAAGAAAUGGAAAAAAAAAUUGGCAUUCGGUACCCAUGUGUUUGAGAGGGUGUGUGAGCAUCAUACACCACAAGACCUGAAGAAUACAUGGAAGAACAUUUGCAAAGCUCACUCAAAUCAAAAUGAAAGGCUUCAUCUUAAGUGAUACUCCAAAGAUUGGUCAAGUCUGUCUGCUGCUGUUCCUCAUGCUCAUCUGACAUCCACUAGUUGAAAAAUACAAUAAGUGAUACUCCAAAGAUUGGUCAAGGUCCCAGGUCUACCCUGAUCUACUCAAUUUGUUUAUGGGUAAACUUUUUAUAUUUUAUAAAAUAUUAGCUUAUUAGAUCUGGAUUGAACCUAUGUGUCAUGCUCUCCCUUGCUAAUUUGGUGAAUUUUCUGUCCACGUUCUUUCAGUUCAGGAGAUAUUUUAGUCCCUUUUUUUCUUAAAAGAAAAAACGAAGAAAAUCUGCAUCUAGUUCCUCUUUUGUCGAUAUUAUUGAUUGAUAGAAAGGAUAGGACCCAUAUCUUUAUGUUAUCUGUACUAAUAUAUAUGAUCUAAACAAGGUUUUUGUCUCGUAAUAUCUUGACCUUAAAAAGUAAGAAUAUGGUUCAUGGAUUUUUAUUUAUAGCUUCAAAAUUCAGUUUUCCUCUUCCUGUCCUCUAAAUGAAAAUAAACAGUUAAAGUUGAUAGUAGUCAGUAGAAAUUGUAGUUUUCUUCUCGGCUCGUCCUAAAUAUUCUAUGAAUGGAAACAAAAAGCAGAUUGCAUUUGCAUCAAGAUGUUGGAUAGGAAUAUAUAUUCUCUUUUGGCUCAUGAAUGUGCUAAUUAAAAAUUCAAUAUUUACUCGGUUAAGUGUAUGACAUCGAUCUAUCUAUAUAUGUAUGCAUGUA